CCGAGUUCGGUACCUUCUAGGUGCCUUCUCCCACCAUUUGUGAACCUUUUUUCGUUGCCUCGGCGGACCGCGUGGUACCCCCACCCUCCGGCCUCUCCGGCUGGGGAGCGUCCGCCAGAGGAUCUUUCAAACUCGUCUAAUCGUGAAAUCUGAGUACAAACAAAUAAAAACA
rnacentral:misc_RNA from 1 species